UACGUAGGGUGCAAACGUUAAUCGGAAUUACUGGGCGUAAAGCGUGCGCAGGCGGUUGUGCAAGACCGAUGUGAAAUCCCCGGGCUUAACCUGGGAAUGGCAUUGGUGACUGCACGGCUAGAGUGUGUCAGAGGGGGGUAGAAUUCCACGUGUAGCAGUGAAAUGCGUAGAGAUGUGGAGGAAUACCGAUGGCGAAGGCAGCCCCCUGGGAUAACACUGACGCUCAUGCACGAAAGCGUGGGGAGCAAACAGG
rnacentral:rRNA from 1 species